rnacentral:lncRNA from 1 species
GGGUCUCACCAUGUUGGCCAGGCUGAUCUCCAACUCCUGACCUCAGGUGAUCCACCCAUGUCAGCCUCCCAAAGUGCUGGGAUUACAGAAGUGAACCACCGCACCCAGCUGUGGCCAGAUUAUUUGUAUAAGGUGCAGCAAGAAUAAUUAUUUUUACAUAGGCCUUUUAAGUUGGCUUCAAAAAAACUCUGUUUCAUGGAAGGAAUUUGAGAUAAGACCUUUUUAAAGCCAAUCCCAGCCAUGGAAGUGCACCAUCAAAUACCUGUGAGUUGGGUGAAUUCUUCCACUCUUGAGGCUCCAAGAUAACCUGGGGUUCCUGGCCUGUGAGAAAGUGACAUUCCUUUACUUACCUCAGGUCAGAAACCUGCACAGGGACUGCGCGCACAAAAUAUGAGGCCCACAGGGACCGCGCGCGCAAAAUAUGAGGCCCACAGGGACCGCGCGCGCAAAAUAUGAGGCCCACAGGCACCGCGCACACAAAAUAUGAGGCCCACAGGGACCGCGCGCGCAAAAUAUGAGGCCCACAGGGACCGCGCGCGCAAAAUAUGAGGCCCACAGGCACCGCGCACACAAAAUAUGAGGCCCACAGGGACUGCGCGCACAAAUUAUGAGUCCCACGGGGACCGCGCACACAAAAUAUGAGGCCCGCCAUCUAAGGGCUCUACUGGCUUCACAAGUCAAGUUUGAUUCCUUAAAGGAGAGCACACCAUUCCAGUCAAAGCCUUGCUAAAACAACCAGUUCUUCCAAUUGUGUCCUGCCAUAAAAGAAAACAGACUUUUGGUCGGGUGCCAUGGCUCACACCUGUAAUCCCAGCACUUUGGGAGCCCGAGGCGGGCAGAUCACCUGAUGUCAGGAGUUCAAGACCAGCCUAGCCAAUGUGGCGAAACCCUGUCUGUACUAAAAAACACAAAAGUUAGCUGGGCAUGGUGGUGCAUGCCUGUAAUCCCAGCUACUCGGGAGGCUGAGGCAGGGAGAAUUGCUUGAACCUGGGAGGUGGAGGUUGCAGUGAGCCGAGAUUGCACCACUGCUCUCCAGCCUGGGGAACAGAGCAAGAUUCCAUCUCAAAAAAAAAAAAAAGAAAGAAAGAAAGAAAGAAAACAGACUUGUAUUGCACCUUUGCAAAUAACCAUACUGCCAUAAUUUAAGGAUACUCACAGGUAGUUUCCAGACUCGGGAGAAAACCAGGCAGAGAGAAAUAAGCAUGCCUCAAAUUUUGUUCAUGGGAGCACACCAAACUGUCAAAAGCUGUUGAUAGCUCAAAAGAAAAGCCUCUUUGACUCUGAAAAGCAAACAAAGGACCAACAAUAUUCCGAGCAAAACAUCAAAAAGAUCACUCCAGUCUGUUAGUUCAGUUCACGCAGUCAGUUCCUGUCCUGCCUGAUAUCAAUGAACAUUCCAGCUCUUCAAGAGUCCUGAACGUCCUUCCUCUAUUCUGAUGUCACAAUCUGCAAAGUUAUCAGAAACCUGCAUUCAAGAGCACCUGUCAGAACUUUAUAGCUGAUCAUAAAACCACCUUCUAAAGAGGACCAAAACAAGACAACAAUUGUUCAUGGAUGACAAAAAGUUUUAGGGUGGCCGCAGUUAAAGACACAAUUGAUGAGGAAAUCUGUUACCUACGUGGCACACAACAAUUUUAACAUAACAAUUAUAAUUAUUACUGAUAAUGUACACUAAAACAUAUCAGGAUUGUAGGAGUCUCCCACAACCUUGGAACACAUACCAAAAACAUAUCUACACAAAUAUAGCCCAAAGAAAGCCAAGCACCAUUUCGUAUUUGACAAUAUUUUCUGUAUAAUUUUUAUACCAAAUAAGCCAAAUUUCACCUUUACAUUAGUGUACUAUGAAUGUUAAACCGAAUUAAUAAAUCCUUAUAGACAUAUUUACUCAAUUUUAAUAUUUGACCACAAGGUAAGAUUUUUAUAGACUUUUUAUAGCCCUUUACAAUUUUUGUUAAAGAGCAGGUUAGUGCUCUAAGAGAAACCCACUGUGCUUUUAUUUUAAUAAAAUUUAAUUUACAGAAAAACUGGAGGAUACCCCUUUUAGCCAAUAUGUUUACACACAGAACUGCCUCUAAAAUCAGCCUUUCACAACUAGCCCAAACCUUCAUUUUUAUUUUAUCCAACUGAAAAAAAAAUCCUUUAACCUUUCAAACUUGGCAAAAAUCCACAUUCUCAUGCCUCCCUGCAAUCUUUCUACCAAAACUAUAUUUUACUUUUCCUACAUACCUUGCAUGUAAGGACAGUGGCUUGGAAUGUUGGAACCUUUCCUUGGAAUGUUCUGGGUUUCAGCACCAAAUGUAAGACUUGAAGAAGGAAGAAAGAAACAUGAAAAGCGGCUCAACAGUCAAAGACAGAUUUAUUUUGGAGAAUAAACCUGAGAGGAGCUUCUGGCCGAUUUCUCUCAGGGGCACUCUCUCUUAUAGACUAAGGGUAUUUACGGGUUUAGGGAGGGAGAGCUUAUCACAGGUUCAGAAUGUUUCUGGUUGGAGGAGAGUUUUAUUUUGGGGUGAGAAGGUUUCUGGUCGGCAGGGAAGUUAUCUCAGGUUGGCAUGUUUCUGGUUGGAGACAGGUUUAUCUCAGGGUUGGAAUGUGUCUGGUUGGAGGUGUCAUUUGUAGUUUAUGAUCAUGCUGACAUUAGCCAUUAGGCUGCUGUUUUUGGGGUGGAUUUAGGUGGUUUUUAAUCAAGAGGAACUUAAAAUGGCAGUGUUUGUCCAAGAUGGUGAUGCUCCUGCUCUGUGACUGAGCUCAAGCGAUUUGCCUGCCUCGGCCUCCCAAAGUGCUGGGAUUACAGGCGAGAGGCACUGUUCCCAGCCGUUGGCCCGUUUUCUAAAGCCACGUCUUCCUCUGCGAUCAUCCAGAACAACACAGAUUCUCCACCUCCUCUUUUUCUAAGCUCUUGCUGCAAAUGCUGGAGAAAGAACAGUGAGCGUUCAGGCUGCAGCUUGGCCAAAAGGCCAGCGAGGGAGAAGUAAUUACCUCGGCAAUGACAGGUGUUCCAUCCUUUCUUCUCCCCUGGAAAUAUCAGCCAUCCAUCAGCCAGGGCCAAACACCCACCCACAUCUGGCUCGGAAAGCAGUAAUGUACCAGGAAGCAGCUGUUUUCGAGAGAAGCCAGCCCUCUGUCAGUUUACUAGCUUAUUCUCUCACUCAUUCAACAUUCCUGUGUUUAUCAUACCAUCCCAGGGGUGGUGUGGCUUAAGGAUGGGUCUCGGGCUGGCCUGGCUGCUCCUGUUUCCCGACUGCCACCCACUAGCUGUGUGACCUCAAGCAAGCUGCUUAACCUCCCAUGCCUUGGUUUCCUCAACCAUUAAGUGGGAGGUAACAAUAGUGGCACCUACGCAUAGAUUGUUCUUGGGGGGUAAAUGAAUUAAUACAUGUGAGGGUUGGCCAGGCACAGUGGCUCACGCCUGUAAUCCCAGCACUUUGGGAAGCUGAGGCGGACAGAUCACAAGGUCAGGAGUUCGAGCCCAGCCUGGCCAAUAAGGUGAAACCCCAUCUCUCUACUAAAAAUACAAAACUUAGCCAGGCGUGGUGGUGCAAGCCUGUAAUUGCAGCUACUCGGGAGGCUGAGGCAGAAGAAUAACUUGAACCCGGGAGGCGGAGGUUGCAGUGAGCAGAGAUUGUGCCAUCGCACUCCAGCCUGGGUGACAGAGUGAGACUCUGUCUCACAAAAAUAAAUACAUACAUACAUACAUACAUACAUGUGACGGUCUCCCAGACAUGCACUCCGGCUCCACCUUGACCAAGGGGAUGGGGCUCACGGUUAAGUCAAACUCUCAGGCUCUUUCUCCAGAGAAUUUGAACUCUGAGCCUUGGGCUGAUGACACAAAGACUCAAAUGGUGGCUGCGCCUUUCUCCCCCAAGUGCACCCCCAGAGACUGCUGGUGCUUCCUGCUAGCUGGAUCCCCAGAGCUGCUUGGUCCCUGUUCUAGGUGAGGCCAUUCAGCAGUCCUUGUGAUUUUCUGAGCAUACUUUAGCCUUCUAGCACACUCCUCUCUUCCCCUAAAAUUAGCCAAGAGUGGGUUUCUGUUGCUUGCAUCCCAACUACCAUCAUUGGGACAGAGCCCCUGUGCUUGAGACAAGCAGAAGAUAGACUUCUUUCACCUGGGGCCUGGCUUCGUCCAACAGCAGAGCCCAACCUCCAGGGCAGACUGACCCGUGAUGGGCAUGGGAGCCCAGAAAAAGGCCCCAUCCAGCCUGUGGGAUCAGAGGAGCCUUCUUGGAGGAGGUGAUGCUGGGCGAGUGUUAAAGGAUACCUAGGCAUCAGCUAGGUGAAGAGAGCAGGGAAGGAGACUCCAGGGAGAGGAAUGUGUGAGAAAAUGGGGAGGAGAGGGAGGAACGGUUGGUGGGCAGCUGCCACUCUGUCCACUGGCAGAGAAGCAGCCAAGUCUCUGAUGGAGCCCACCGGAGCAGCCUACCUGGCUUCUGUGGUCACUGGCUGUGACCCCGCCAGCCCUGCUCAGCGCUGUGCCCAGCCCUGGGUGCAGGGAGGUGCGGUUUGCUCUCAGAGGAGCAGCUAGCUGGGAGCAUCCGAGGCCAUUAGGGACAGGACGCUAAUGCAUCGGCGCCCCAUUGAUUCUGCCUGGCUUUUGUGAACACGUCUGCGCUGACUAAUUUGUUUAAUUACUCAUUGCCGCAUCUGUUCUCAAUUGCCCUAUGCAGAUACUUAGUCUGUGGCUGGGAGCCAAGCCUCAGGGUCCCUUUUCCUCUUCCAAGAUGGGUGGCACUGAACGCCGAGGCCACGGCCCGUCCUGAUGUGGUCAGAGAUGUCGUCAUGUGCCACUAACAGGCGUCGCCAAGACCAGCCAGGUGCAGACCUUGGGUGGGUCCUAUGGGGUCCUACAGGAAGCAUAGGCAUGGUCCCUGGUGGUCCCCAGGAGCACGGCUCUAACACAGCCGAGGCAUAGUGUGAGCAAAGUCAGACGCAGUGGUUACAAGCAACCCCACGUGGUCUGCUUCGAAUCCAGCAAACUUUUGUUUUCAGUGCCCAGCUCCCUAAGCCUUCUUUGUCCUUACCGUCUCUUCAGAAUCUGUCUGCUUCACCCUGAAUCUUGUCUAUUGUCCUGGCUAGUUCAGCUGGAGGCCAGGGGUCGGAGACUUAGAGAAAUGAGGAGGGGGCGUGGAGCAGGGGCUGAGGCCUGAGCGGUGAGUGGGGCUCGGUAUUGACGAUCAGCGAACAGUCUCCUGGGGAGUCAGCUUGAAUGGGGCCUGUGAUAUCUGCGGCCAGUGCCCUCGGUAUGUCCCACUCAGCAUCCUCCCCAGGUCAGAACACAUUUUGGGGCAGAACCGAGUUUUCUCUUCACUUUCAGACUCAAGUCCAGCUUAUUGGGGCUUAUGAAGACUUCCACCUCAUACAGGAUGAAUGAUUCUCUUCUCCAUUCCCUCUGCUGCUCGUGGACACUCGGAGGUGGGGGAAGGCUCUGUUCUUUUACUUUUCUGGUUCUAGUUUCUCAGGGAAUGAGGCAGGAGGAGAGACAUGGAAAGGGAGAGAGAUACCUUCCGUUUCAAGGAAUAUGCAGUUUGGAUGUCUGAAAAAGAUUUAUGGCAGAGAUGCUGGAUGGAAAACAAACACACAGUUUGAGAGGGUCCUUUUUAUUUUUAUUUUAUUUUAUUUAUUUAUUUUUUUGAGAUGGAGUCUUGCUGUGUCACCCAGGCUGG